GACGAACGCUGGCGGCGUGCUUAACACAUGCAAGUCGAACGAUGAAGCCGGAGCUUGCUCUGGUGAAUUAGUGGCGAACGGGUGAGUAACACGUGAGUAACCUGCCCUUGACUCUGGGAUAACUGCUAGAAAUGGUAGCUAAUACCGGAUACGACCCUCGGAGGCAUCUUCAGGGGGUGGAAAGAAUUUCGGUCAAGGAUGGACUCACGGCCUAUCAGCUAGUUGGUGAGGUAAUGGCUCACCAAGGCGACGACGGGUAGCCGGCCUGAGAGGGUGACCGGCCACACUGGGACUGAGACACGGCCCAGACUCCUACGGGAGGCAGCAGUGGGGAAUAUUGCACAAUGGACGCAAGCCUGAUGCAGCAACGCCGCGUGAGGGAUGACGGCCUUCGGGUUGUAAACCUCUUUUAGUAGGGAAGAAGCGAAAGUGACGGUACCUGCAGAAAAAGCACCGGCUAACUACGUGCCAGCCGCCGCCGUAA
rnacentral:rRNA from 1 species